rnacentral:rRNA from 1 species
GUGGGGGGAAGUAAACCUCGGGAAACCGGGGGCGUAAUACCGCAUAACAUCACGAGCUGUAAACGUUUGUGAUCAAAGGAGCAAUUCGCUCAAGGAGGGGGUCGGCGGCUGAUUAGUUAGUUGGUGAGGUAACGGCUCACCAAGACUUAGAUCAGUAUCCGGCCUGAGAGGGCGCACGGACACACUGGAACUGAAACACGGUCCAG